rnacentral:lncRNA from 1 species
ACUGUGUCUCCCAGGUCUCGAAUUCCUGGCCUCAAGUGAUCCACCUGACUUGGCCUCCCAACGUCAAGUGGCUAGGAUUACAGAGGGAAGAGAAGAGGCAGAAAUUCCAGUCCUCCUCCCCCCAAAAUUUUAGUCUCGGGAUUUAUUUGUGCUGAAAGCCAGAGUUAUCUACUGCUUGAAACCUAAGCAGAAUGCAUCAGCAUUUCAGGACCACCUGGGACCAAGGGGGGCUGGGAGACUUCCAGAUGGAUUGUAAGACAAUUCACUGAUAUUUACAUAACGAGAAUAAAUGUUUUUCCUAAGAUAGCAUUUCCCUUCAGUGUCUUGAGACCACCAGCAAAAGAGGGAGGUACAGAAAUUCUAUUACAUUAAUAGUCUUUGUUUUUAUGGCUUUGGCAUUUAUUAACUAGUGGGAGCUGUUUAUUGGGUCAUAAACUUUACUAAUGGGGAUAUUAUCUCUAAAUUAUAAAUCUUGUCCAGUAUAUGGCUUAGUUAUAAAAAGAAUGAUUAUUUAAAGUGUCUGUAUGGCUGCAACGUAUCAUGUUUAUCGGCAUGAAUCCUAUAAUGGCCAUUUCAUUGCUAAUUGUGGGCUUGAACCAGAAACAACCAGGGCAGUAACACACAUCUAUGCAAUAGAAUAAGCAGUUGUCACCCCACAACUCAGGAGCAUUGUCAUUGGUUUGCUUCCUUUCUUUUUCUCCCCCCACUUCUCAAAUGAACUACAUUAUGAGCCUCUACAAGGGCUAAAUUAUCUACGUAUUUAAACUCUUGAAGGAAAGACAACUGACUGAAGAGUUGAAUAGGUAAGUGACGAAUGUGUCAGCUUG